rnacentral:rRNA from 1 species
UGAACGCUGGCGGCAGGCCUAAUACAUGCAAGUCGAACGGCUCUUCGGAGCAGUGGCGGGCGGGUGAGUAACGCGUGGGAAUGUGCCCUUUGGUACGGAACAACACAGGGAAACUUGUGCUAAUACCGUAUGUGCCCUUCGGGGGAAAGAUUUAUCGCCAUUGGAGCAGCCCGCGUUGGAUUAGGUAGCUGGUGAGGUAAAGGCUCACCAAGCCGACGAUCCAUAGCUGGUCUGAGAGGAUGAUCAGCCACACUGGGACUGAGACACGGCCCAGACUCCUACGGGAGGCAGCAGUAGGGAAGCUUGCGCAAUGGGCGAAAGCCUGACGCAGCCAUGCCGCGUGUAUGAUGAAGGUCUUAGGAUUGUAAAAUACUUUCACCGGGGAAGAUAAUGACGGUACCCGGAGAAGAAGCCCCGGCUAACUUCGUGCCAGCCGCCGCAGUAAGAC